rnacentral:rRNA from 1 species
UACGUAGGCAGCGAGCGUUGUUCGGAGUUACUGGGCGUAAAGGGUGUGUAGGCGGUUCUUUAAGUUUGGUGUGAAAUCUCCCGGCUCAACCGGGAGGGUGCGCCGAAUACUGAGGAACUAGAGUAUGGGAUGGGAAAGUGGAAUUCCUGGUGUAGCGGUGAAAUGCGUAGAUAUCAGGAGGAACACCUGUGGUGUAGACGGCUUUCUGGACCAUAACUGACGCUGAGACACGAAAGCGUGGGUAGCAAACAGG